AGCCCUCUCUAUCCGUGCUGAGAUUUCGUCAGAGACCAACCCGUUGGCACUGAUGGUACUUCCCAAAUAAGUGAAGCG
rnacentral:pre_miRNA from 1 species